rnacentral:misc_RNA from 1 species
CCUAUUCUCAAUUAUACCAAUGUGCAUUCAUAUUGGUAUUGCUUAUGCUUUGAUUCACUGCACAGCUCUUGGGUUCAAGGGAGCUCCACUCGCAGUUUCAAUUUCAUUGUGGUUAUCAGUUCUUAUUUUGGCUAUGUAUGUGAUAAUUGCAAAGAAAUUUGAGCACACGUGGGAUGGAUUUUCAUUCGAAUCAUUCAGCUACAUUCUUAUCAACAUAAAACUAGCUCUUCCCUCUGCUGCAAUGGUAUGCUUGGAGUAUUGGGCUUUUGAGGUUCUGGUGCUUGUAGCAGGAAUAAUGCCAAACUCUAAGAUAACUACCUCAUUAAUUGCAAUAUGCGUGAACACAGAAGCUGUAGCCUACAUGUUAACCUAUGGUCUCAGUGCUGUUGCAAGCACAAGGGUAUCUAAUGAGUUGGGAGCGGGCAAUCCAGACCGUGCUAAGGGAGCUAUGGCUGUGACUCUCAAGCUCUCUGUCUUCCUUGCCCUCAUAGUUGUUUUGGCUCUAGCAUUUGGUCAUAAUAUCUGGGCUGCAAUGUUCAGUGACAGCCGUGCAAUAAUAAAGGAUUUUGCCCCCAUGGCACCCUUCCUUGCAAUUUCCAUUACAGUUGACUCCAUUCAAGGUGUCUUGUCAGGAGUGGCCAGAGGAUGUGGUUGGCAGCACUUAGCCGUAUAUGCUAACUUGGCAACAUUUUACAUCAUUGGCAUGCCAAUAGCAUGUGUUCUUGGAUUCAAGUUGAAGCUUUAUGUCAAGGGUUUGUGGAUUGGCUUAAUCUGCGGCCUUUCUUGCCAAGCUGCUACCCUCUCAUUGAUUACAACGCAAGCAAAAUGGACUCAGGCAGCAGAUCUUUCUAUAAGCAAAGAUGAAGAAAACCCACUUGUCAGUUAGCAAAAUUUCAAUUUAAUUGCUUGAUUCGAUUAUAUAUAAACUACAAAUAGUUGUUGUUGGGUCAUUUGUUAGUCGGAUAAAGGG